AGUAGUGCCAGUGCCCUUGAGGUUUGAUGAAGCAAUUCGAAUGAGUGGUUCAGUGGGGAUCCUAAGAACAACAAUUGAAGAUAUUUACAUAAAUGGAUAUACUAUUCCAAAAGGCUGGACAAUCAUGAUCGUUCCAUCUUCGCUUCACCAUCUUCUCUUCACUUUUAACCAGAAACACAUGAAGAUCCUCUUGAUUUCAAUCCAUGGCAAUGGAAGGAUUUGGGACCAAAUGUUCGUGCAAAAAAUUUU
rnacentral:misc_RNA from 1 species